AGAGUCAGAAGGAGGCCUCGGAUCUGGGGAGAAAAUCUUCGGGCUCAUUAAACCUCACAGUUUGUUCUACCUGGACCUCAUCUGCCCAGCUACAGGAGCUUCCAUGGCCCAGCAGUUUCCACCGAAUAGUUCAGGAGCCAGUGUUCACUCUUUGCAAUGGUGAGCCUCCAGUGAUUUCAGCUGUCAAGUGUUGCUGAUCCCCAGAUUCCUACGAAGGAGAUAGGCAAAGCUUGUAGUCUUCCCUUCCGAAUUUAAUUUAAGCUGCAUGUGUAAUAGAGUUUCAGAUUCUGGAGGAAGAAGCUGGCCCCAAUCGAGUGUGAGAAUAAUCAGCCGUGGUGUAGGCAUGGCAGCUGUGAGCUGGAGAAGUCACCCCAACUGGGAUCUGUGACAGGUGGUCAGGGGAUGGCCAAAGGGUACAGGGCCUCAGUGGCUGGACUGGGGUUGGGUGGGGCCAGAGAGCAGGAGCAAAGAAGCAGACUUGGGUGUGGCCUAGCCCAGAGCAGUGGAUCUCAAACCAUUUUGUCUAAGGAUCUCUUUACAUCCUUAAAAAUUAUUGAGAAUCCCACA
rnacentral:lncRNA from 1 species